UACAGAGGGUGCGAGCGUUAAUCGGAAUUACUGGGCGUAAAGCGUGCGUAGACGGUUUCGUAAGUCGGGUGUGAAAGCCCCGGGCUCAACCUGGGAAUUGCAUUCGAGACUGCGUAGCUAGGGUGCGGAAGAGGGAAGCGGAAUUUCCGGUGUAGCGGUGAAAUGCGUAGAUAUCGGAAGGAACAUCAGUGGCGAAAGCGGCUUCCUG
rnacentral:rRNA from 1 species